UACGUAGGGUGCGAGCGUUAAUCGGAAUUACUGGGCGUAAAGGGUGCGCAGGCGGUUAUGUAAGACAGAUGUGAAAUCCCCGGGCUCAACCUGGGAACUGCGUUUGUGACUGUAUGACUAGAGUACGGUAGAGAGGGGUGGAAUUCCUGGUGUAGCAGUGAAAUGCAUAGAUACUAUCAAGAACACCGAUUGCGAAGGCAGCUUACUAGGCUGUAGCUGACGCUGAGGCACGAAAGUGUGGGGGAUCAAACAGG
rnacentral:rRNA from 1 species